UACGAGGGGUGCAAGCGUUGCUCGGAAUUAUUGGGCGUAAAGGGUAGGUAGGUGGUCUCAUUUGUCUGGGGUGAAAGCUUUGGGCUUAACUCAAGAAGUGCCCCGGAAACGGUGAGACUGGAGUCCUGGAGAGGGUCGUGGAAUUCCCGGUGUAGCGGUGAAAUGCGUAGAGAUCUGGAGGAACACCGAUGGCGAAGGCAGCCCCCUGGGCUAACACUGACGCUCAUGCACGAAAGCGUGGGGAGCAAACAGG
rnacentral:rRNA from 1 species